rnacentral:rRNA from 1 species
UAUUAUACUAAUAAACAUUAUAACCCUGAAUUAUUAAUAGAUAUUAUCUUUAAAUUUGAAGAAUUUGGCGGUAGCUUAGUCCUGUUAGAGGAACCUGUUUUUUAAUCGAUAUUCCACGUAGAAUUUUACUUACUCUAUUAGUCUAUAUACCGUCAUUAGCAGAUAAUUUUAAAAGGAUCAAUUAUUAAGAUUUCAAAGAGUAUAAAACUAAAUUAGAUCAAGGUGUAGCUCAUGGGUAAGUUAAAAUGGGUUACAAUAAAACUUAUUUAUAAUGGAGUGGUUAUAAGAAUAUAUACCAUGAAGGAGGAUUUAAUUGUAAUAUGAGUUUAACAAGCUCAAAAGAUAUAAGGCUCUAAGCUAU